CAAUCAAACCGGGAGAUAGCUGGUUCUCCCCGAAAGCUAUUUAGGUAGCGCCUCGUGAAUUCAUCUCCGGGGGUAGAGCACUGUUUCGGCUAGGGGGCCAUCCCGGCUUACCAACCCGAUGCAAACUGCGAAUACCGGAGAAUGUUAUCACGGGAGACACACGGCGGGUGCUAACGUCCGUCGUGAAGAGGGAAACAACCCAGACCGCCAGCUAAGGUCCCAAAGUCAUGGUUAAGUGGGAAACGAUGUGGGAAGGCCCAGACAGCCAGGAUGUUGGCUUAGAAGCAGCCAUCAUUUAAAGAAAGCGUAAUAGCUCACUGGUCGAGUCGGCCUGCGCGGAAGAUGUAACGGGGCUAAACCAUGCACCGAAGCUGCGGCAGCGAACGUAUCACCCAAGACAACUUUACGGAGUUGACGAUUGACGGAGCGAAGCGACGUCAAAGCGUUCAUUAAAGUCGAGUUGGCUUAGGGAUACGUUCGUUGGGUAGGGGAGCGUUCUGUAAGCCUGUGAAGGUGUGUCGUGAGGCAUGCUGGAGGUAUCAGAAGUGCGAAUGCUGACAUAAGUAACGAUAAAGCGGGUGAAAAGCCCGCUCGCCGGAAGACCAAGGGUUCCUGUCCAACGUUAAUCGGGGCAGGGUGAGUCGACCCCUAAGGCGAGGCCGAAAGGCGUAGUCGAUGGGAAACGGGUUAAUAUUCCCGUACUUGGUGUUACUGCGAAGGGGGGACGGAGAAGGCUAUGUUGGCCGGGCGACGGUUGUCCCGGUUUAAGCGUGUAGGUGUGUGUUCCAGGUAAAUCCGGUUCACUUUAACACUGAGGCGUGAUGACGAGGCACUACGGUGCUGAAGCAACAAAUGCCCUGCUUCCAGGAA
rnacentral:rRNA from 1 species